CCCUGAGCUGAGCCAAAGUACUGUUGCUGGACAGGGCAGCUCAGAUAGAAUGGAUUUUCCCUUCUGUCUGAAUUGACUGGAACCCCAACAUUGACUAAGAUAAUGGACCUGGCAGACAUCACAUACAAAAUGAACAGUGGCAGUCUAGUCCAGAAUAUACUGCAAGGUUCUACCAACUAGCCAAGUCUGUGGAAAUGGCAAGAAACCACCAGAAUAUCAUGAGAAGUUCUUUUGCAAGUUACUCUCUAUGAAGUCAUAACAAACAAAGGUCUCCAUCAUGGUGUAAGGCCAUCCAGUGUCAGAGCAUCAGCAGCAGAAACUAGUGAAUAAACCAAAGCAUGAGUUUU